rnacentral:lncRNA from 1 species
CGUUUGAGACCCAGCGUCUCUAGAUCUCGUAUUUGAAUUUGUGGCGCUUGGUGUCCGCGAGUUGCCGAAUGAAGCUGAGCGUCUCAGUGGAACCAGGGAUCUCAGGGAGGGGAAGGUAUAAAAUUUUCAAAUGGAGGAGUAUACCUGAACCUAAUCAUGGAUGUGAUUUUAUGUAAGUAAUAUGUGAGAUACAGAUAAGCUGAUUCUAAAACUUACAAGAAUGGCAAAGAAACAAGAAGAGCUUAAACUGCAAUCAUCAACAGAGAAGCUUUCUGCAACCAAAGUGAAGACUGAAGCCUUAGGCUAUGGCAGAAGUUGGGCGCCUGAAGUACACGUGGAAAUAUGCCAACUGAACAUUGGACUACCACGUCAAGGGUCUCCUACCCCUGGGCCAUGGAUCAAUACCAGUCUGUGACCUGUUAGGAACCGGUAGCAGGAGCGCCUGCCCCUGGCUCAGCGCCCGGUGCCAACAGAACACCUUUCAGGAUCCACAGCAACGCAGACAACGAGUCCAGAAUCCCGGCCUCUGCUUGGAACGGAACAGUGU